rnacentral:rRNA from 1 species
CUGACUGCUAUCGGAUUGGUACUAAGCCAUGCGAGUCAUUGUAGCAAUACAAGGCGGACGGCUCAGUAACACGUAGUCAACCUAACUCGUGGACGUGGAUAACCUCGGGAAACUGAGGAUAAACCACGAUAGAUCAUAGUGCCUGGAAUGGCUUAUGGUACAAACAGUUUACUGCCAUGGGAUGGGACUGCGGCCUAUCAGCUUGUUGGUGAGGUAAUGGCCCACCAAGGCGAUUACAGGUACGGGCUCUGAGAGGAGUAGCCCGGAGAUGGGUACUGAGACACGGACCCAGGCCCUAUGGGGCGCAGCAGGCGAGAAACCUUAGCAAUGUGCGAAAGCACGACUGGGUCAGUCCGAGUGAUUCCUGAUAAAGGAGUCUUUUGCCUGUCCUAAAAGCACAGGUGAAUAAGGGGUGGGCAAGUCUGGUGUCAGCCGCCGCGGUAAUACCAGCACCUCGAGUGGUCAGGACGUUUAUUGGGCCUAAAGCAUCCGUAGCCGGCUCUGCAAGUCUUCGGUUAAAUCCACCUGCUCAACAGAUGGGCCGCUGGAGAUACUACAGAGCUAGGGAGUGGGAGAGGCAGACGGUAUUCAGUGGGUAGGGGUAAAAUCCUCUGAUCCAUUGAGGACCACCAGUGGCGAAGGCGGUCUGCCAGAACACGUUCGACGGUGAGGGAUGAAAGCUGGGGGAGCAAACCGGAUUAGAUACCCGGGUAGUCCCAGCUGUAAACGAUGCAAACUCGGUGAUGCAUUGGCUUAUGGCCAAUGCAGUGCCGCAGGGAAGCCGUUAAGUUUGCCGCCUGGGGAAGUACGGACGCAAGUCUGAAACUUAAAGGAAUUGGCGGGGGAGCAC